GGACGGGGACGGGUGUGCGGACGAUUAGCUAGUUGGCGGGGCAACGGCCCACCAAGGCGACGAUCGUUAGCUGAUGUGAGAGCAUGGUCAGCCACACGGGCACUGAGACACGGGCCCGACUCUUACGGGAGGCAGCAGUAAGGAAUAUUGGUCAAUGGGCGCAGGCCUGAACCAGCCAUGCCGCGUGGAGGACGAAGGCCCUCCGGGUCGUAAACUCCUUUUACCCGGGACGAAAAAAGCCCUUUUGAGGGCACUUGACGGUACCGGGGGAAUAAGCACCGGCUAACUCCGUGCCAGCAGCCGCGGUAAUACGGAGGGUGCGAGCGUUAUCCGGAUUCACUGGGUUUAAAGGGUGCGCAGGCGGGCUUUUAAGUCAGCGGUGAAACCCGCGGGCUCAACCCGCGGACUGCCGAUGAUACUAGGGGCCUUGGAUGUCGCUGAGGGCAGCGGAAUGGGGCAUGUAGCGGUGAAAUGCAUAGAUAUGCCCCGGAACACCGAUUGCGGAGGCAGCUGCCUAAAGGACGAUCGACGCUGAGGCACGAAAGCGUGGGUAGCGAACAGGAUUAGAUACCCUGGUAGUCCACGCCCUAAACGAUGAUUACUCGACGUCCGCGGCAUACUGUGGGCGUCCAAGCGAAAGCAUUAAGUA
rnacentral:rRNA from 1 species